AACGCGUGGGAAUUGCCUUAGGUACGGAAUAACUCAGGAAAUUGAGCUAAUACGUAUAAUGCUCCGGUCCAAAGAUUAUCGCGUGAGGAUGAGCCCGCGUCGGAUUAGCUAGUUGGUGAGGUAAAGGCUCACCAAGGCGACGAUCCGUAGCUGGUCUGAGAGGAUGAUCAGCCACACUGGGACUGAGACACGGUCCAGACUCCUACGGGAGGCAGCAGUGGGGAAUAUUGGACAAUGGGCGCAAGCCUGAUCCAGCAAUGCCGCGUGACUGCUGAAGGCCUU
rnacentral:rRNA from 1 species